rnacentral:misc_RNA from 1 species
UUAUCUCUGUUUGACCGCCAUUAAGUCCAGAAGACGAUGGUAAUAUCGUAUUUAUUGAUAAAUAGAUAUUAUAACAGUAAAACUAUUAUUAUGGGGACAGCUGGGACUUUAACGUUAAGAUGAAAAUGAUCUUUAUACGUAAAUAUAUUACGAAAGUCUUAGGAACUAUUAGACUAAAUAUAUUCAUCAAUAACUAUACUCGCUCGAGGCAGAUAUUUGUGCUUGUAAAGAUACUAGCUUCGGGUCUGUCGAACCGUGGUGCCGUCUAUAGUGAGCUCUUUACAGAAACCCGUAACUAUUCAAAGUUUCAUAUUACAAUGAAAAUCUUUGACAGGAGACGACACCGUGCUAUUUUUAAUAUCUAAGAUUUUAUUUUUGUGUUACCCACAUUAGGAAUUCUAAACAUUUUUGAAUAUCAUAUCAAAAAUUGACCGA